GCUAAUAAUCAGCAAUUCUAUACUGUUUCUGCUUUUGCUAUUUGUGCGCCGGGUUUGAUAGUCCGGUUUACGCGUAGCAGAACACUUUUGCUUCUGCUUUUAUGACGUUUUCUGACCAUUCAGCAGAGGCUGCUGUGCUUGUUUCCAUCUCUUCCUCUCUCUCUGCAAUUUCGUUUGGUGAAAGAUUGCCCACAGAUCAUUCUCUCUCUCUCUCUGGUUUGGGUUGUGAUUUAAAGGGGGGGUGGAAGCUAAAGAUAAAUUGCCAGGUGGGUUCAUUAGUUUGGUUCAUUCACUAGGGAUCCAAAUGUCUGAGUGUUUCGUCUGCCUUUUUUACCUCUGAAUUAUACAAGAAGAAACAGAUGGUUCUGGAGGAUUGAAUGUUAAAUUUCAUUCUAAAGUUGGAUUUUUUUUUUUAGGAAAAGGAAAAAAGCAGUAGCGAAGCUUCCAUUAAAUCUUGACGUUUUGAUAAUAAUUUGUUUUGAGAAAUAGGCUGUUCUUUGUCUGCAGAGGUUUACGUGUGUGGUAGCACUUUUUUUUUCCCCCGUUUUUGGGAGUAAUUAAGUGAAAUUUGAGUUUAAGCUCUUUUUUCUUGGGCAG
rnacentral:lncRNA from 1 species